rnacentral:lncRNA from 1 species
GAAGAAACUGUACAGGAAUAAACUUACGUGAUCCUCAUUUCAAGGAGAAGAAGGAGAAGUUGAAGAAGGAGGAGAAGGAGAAGGAUGAGAAGAAAAACAAGAAGAGGAAGGAGAAGGAGGAGGAAAAUGAGAAGGAGAAGAAGAGAAGGAACAGCAGCAGUUGCAGGAGGAGGAGAAAGAGGAGGAGGAGGAGAACAGAGUGUGCAGAAGCUGGGGGGGAUUCCAAUGUUGGAAGCAUUUUUAGCAUACAACAACAUCCAAGUGGAUUACGAUGAAUGCCUAGACCUCUAUGGCAAACAGGUCAGUAAAAAGAACAAUUCAUGGAAUCUAAAACUUGUAUUCUGUUUCUGGUAGCCCC